rnacentral:rRNA from 1 species
AUGAGCGGUGACCAGCUUCAGGCUAUGGCGGCAGUGCCGCCAUGGAAUGGGCGACACAGGUGCUGCGAGCUGGAACAGGCGCACGCCAGAGCUGCAGUUGCCGUCACAGGAGCUGCGAUCGCCGUCAUGGGGAGCUGCAACUACAGGACACGCUGCUGCAUGCACGGAGCCGGCGAGAAACACAGGAGACGACGACAACGAGGGGCGGCGACCGGCGGCGAGGGCAGCGACCGGCGAGAUGCGUUGGGCAGUGCUUCUAGGCCGGGCGCAUCGUUCAUCCACAACACCAUGGGGAUGUUUCCCAGAAAAGAGGACACAGGGGAAGAAGGAAGAAGAUCGUACGUCUCUAAUUUGCUGAAUCGCAUGGUGUUGGUGUGA